CGUAGGAGGCAAGCGUUAUCCGGAAUUACUGGGCGUAAAGGGCAAGUAGGCGGUUGUUCAAGUUGGGCGUGACAGAUCUCGGCUUAACUGAGAAAGGUCGUCCAAUACUGAGCGACUAGAGGGCAGGAGAGGAAAGUGGAACUCCCGAUGUAGCGGUGGAAUGCUCAGAUAUCGGGAAGAACACCAGUGGCGAAGGCGGCUUUCUGGCCUGCACCUGACGCUGAGAGGCGAAAGCUAGGGUAGCAAACGGGGCUUAGAUACCCCCGUA
rnacentral:rRNA from 1 species